AACACAGAGUGGGGGGAACAUCCAGGAUGCACAUUCAACCAGCAGGAUUCAGUGGCCUUUGAGGAUGUGGCUGUCAGCUUCACCCAGGAGGAGUGGGCUUUGCUGGAUCCUUCCCAGAAGAAUCUCUACAGGGAUGUGAUGCAGGAAACCUUCAAGAACCUGACCUCUGUAGGAAAAACAUGGAAAGUUCAGAACAUUGAAGAUGAGUACAAAAAUCCCAGGAGAAAUCUAAGUCUUAUGAGAGAGAAACUCUGUGAAAGUAAAGAAAGUCAUCACUGUGGAGAAAGCUUCAACCAGAUUGCAGAUGACAUGCUGAACAGGAAAACUCUUCCUGGAAUAACACCAUGUGAAAGCAGUGUGUGUGGAGAAGUUGGCACGGGUCAUUCAUCUCUUAAUAGGCAUAUCAGAGCUGACACUGGACACAAGUCAUCUGAGUAUCAGGAAUAUGGAGAGAAUCCAUAUAGAAAUAAGGAAUGUAAGAAAGCCUUCAGUUAUCUUGACUCCUUUCAAUCACAUGAUAAAGCUUGC
rnacentral:sRNA from 1 species